rnacentral:tRNA from 1 species
GGGGUUGUGGCUCAGAGGUAAAGCACUUGCCUAGCAUGCAUGAAGUACUGGGUUCAAUCCUCAGCACUACA